GGGGUGUCCCCGCUACACUUGAACCCUUUCCAUUAACAAUCUUAAUUCCAUGGUCGUCCCCAUACCUCGUUCGGUAUGAGCGCCAAGACAUUAAACCUCAAUACCCCGUUCGGUAUGAAGGUGAAGUGGGUCGUCCCCAUACCUCGUCCGGUAUGGGCGCCAAAUGACCAAGUCUCCAUACCCCGUCUGGUAUGAGACAACAUUCACGGUAGGGUUCCCUAUGAACUCGGUCCGUCUACCAUCUCCCAGGAUAUCUAGUGAGGCUGUCAUCUUAUCCGUUUAUUAGAUCACAUCCCUUUCCUAUUUACCCUUAAUCUCCGUUAUCAAAUUAAACACAAUCACAUAAACAAUAAACAUGUACCCGGUAAUACAAUCAUAUCUUACAUUCCAAAAUCACAC
rnacentral:lncRNA from 1 species